UACGUAGGGUGCGAGCGUUAAUCGGAAUUACUGGGCGUAAAGCGUGCGUAGGCGGUUCUCCAAGUCCGUUGUGAAAGCCCCGGGCUUAACCUGGGAAUGGCAGUGGAAACUAGAGAACUUGAAUCUGGCAGAGGGGGGUGGAAUGCCACGUGUAGCAGUGAAAUGCGUAGAGAUGUGGAGGAAUACCGAUGGCGAAGGCAGCCCCCUGGGCCAAUACUGACGCUCAUGCACGAAAGCGUGGGGAGCAAACAGG
rnacentral:rRNA from 1 species